ensembl:lncRNA
AAGACUUGCUUUAAUUAAUUGCUUGCUUUUGACAUGAUGAUUUGGGUAAAUGGUCUAUCCCCUCCCAUCUUUGGGAUUAACCAAUAGGGCGUUAACCAUCACUUGUGGUCCUCUGCAGAGUUGUGAGGGUGCUUGGUGGCUUGGCAGCUGGGAUGUUCAGAGACUCCGAGGAAGACAGACGAGGUUUCGGACAAGGCUUGGGUGGAAUCCCUAUGAAUGCUGCUUGCCUGUGGGUGGUUUUGAUCAAGAGGAGCCAGGCUGAGUGGACAGACUGCAAGAUGGGUAUAUUGUGUUCUACCUGCACAUCCACACCUGUAUGCCUGAGGAGCUGGCAAGGAUGCCAUUUCAGGGUGUUCUGCUCAGCUAGCAACUGACCGCCUGUCACAAGGUGGCUUUCCUGUCCUGACAUAGAAAGCAUAUGGUAAUGGAGACCAGAGACUUCCCCUUAAUCCAGCUUCCUUUCCUCCUCUCUAUGCUCGGAGAUGGAUACCUAGGCCAUCUUUCCAGACUCUGACAUGACUUGGAAUUCCUGUCCCCAGCUCCUACUGAUACAGCUCUUCAGUCUCUGAGGGAAUUUGUCCCUCCCAGGAUAGCUGAGGCAGGGGACGCAUUCCUGCUCUUCCCCGUCUUUCCCUCCUAACAAUCCCUGUGUCCCCGUUUUCCACCUUUGCCUCCUUUGGACAUGGUGUGGUGAGAAAGGACAUGUGCCGAGUACAGAAAACUUGGAGAUGUGCACUUGGAAAGGAAUCCAGAAGAGAACAGAUGCAAACCUUGCUGUACAGCCACGGCACAGGGCUCUGCCUGCUUCUCUUCCUGACCUAGAGACUUGGCCAGCUAAGCACACAGAUGGCUUGCAUAUGACAUGCCAAGACUUUCCUCAGAAUAAUGCCCAUUUCCUUAUGUCAUUACAGUUCUUUAAGAUCGUGUUGCAAAUACACUCUCUUGUCUACUUUAAACAGGUUAUUUGGCUGUCAGACGUUUUGGUGACAUUUUGUUUUCUCCAAUUAUAAGCUCUUCUUAUUUUUUUUUAAAGCCUGUUUCUGUACAAUGCUUCCAUCCAAGGGUGGACUGUAAUCCUAAAAGACCCAAAGAGCUGGCUCUGGAUCAAACUGCACAAGACUCUCACCUUCCCCUUUCCCCCACUUAGGGUGCGCAGUGCUUUCCAUAGCUUACCCUUUAAUAAAUGGCCAGGGGAGACUGUCAGGAAAGCACCAAUUAUCACUUACCCUCCCGCCCUCAAGGCAACGCAGCCAAAUCAAAGGAUCCCGGGUGAGGUGGCUUCUCUCAAUACUUCCUACUAACUGUGGGAAGAUGUCUACAUCCCAGGACCUAGCUGUCUCAGGCCCUGGCCAGGUGGACACGAUGGGUUCAGGCUGAGAAGAGAGAACACAGGCCAAAGACUCAGUGUUCAUGCACUGUCCCAUGACACAUAGGGUCUCUUCCAGUUCUAAGUAGCAUACGUCGAAGGAAUCAAGUCUUACACUGGUCUCUUAAGUAAACUAUUUAUAUGGGUCCGUCUUUAGAAACAGGCUUGGAUAAAAAAUGAAAGACAGUCAUGGUAACACUCAAGUGGUACCCACAGUGUCCAAGAGUCCUUGAUGUAGGGAAAUGUCAAGUCCUGGUUUUCCAGAUGAUUGCUAACUUGUGUGUGUGUGUCUAGAGAACACCAGUAGCUAUGUCCCAUCCCUUUCCACUCAUCAAGUAUGGAUUGGGAAGGCCAUGUGUCAUGGCUUCUGGGGCUAGAUUAUGGAUAGGUUUGGGGAAGGGUCUGGGGUGGUUUCUCUUCAAGAAGCCCAGAAACAGACUGGGGAGGCUGUGAGGCAUCCAGAUACCCAGGACGGACUUCAUGCUAGUGGCUCCAAGGAACAGGCAGCUCUAGUUAACUCUGGAUCAGAGGGUCUCGUCGACUGAGAAAGCAGUGUAAUUAUGGCAGGGCAUUGGGAGAGGGGCAGGGCUCGAGUUGCAGGUAUGCAAAUAGGCCUUACAGUAUGGUGGGCAGAGAAGGAGGGGGAGGGCAGGCAUGGCUUAGGGGGCUUCUUGACUGUGUCCCUGAGUGUGAUUUUCAGUUUACCUAUGGGGGGGUGCAAGCUUUCCCACAAGACCAGGAAUAAGCAACCAGAAGGGUGAGGCAAGAAGUUGACCCAAGGAGGUGUGGGAAAUGGGUCUCGGUCCAAAUGAGGGACUCCUUGGGUAGCUGACCACCUGGGGCAGAUCUGGGAAAGCUGUCUCUGGUGGAACCCUGGUUUGAAGAUUGCUCUUUGAGUCUCACUUGAGGAAGAGGUGGCUUCAUCUUGGGACCUGUGGGGGCAAUCAUACUUUAUACACACUUCUGUGAAACACAACAUAGGAGGCUUCUCAUGCAGUUCCCCCAACUUUUCCUGUCAGCAUAACAGGACCUCAUUCCUCACACAGGGAUGACUUAUGCUUGGCUUUGAUUCCUCCUGACUCAUCAGGCUCAGGCCCCUAAGUAAUUAGGCUGCCUUGCAUCUUCCUCUGGGUGUGAAGAAACAAGGCUUAGAGAGGCCCAAAGAAUGUAGCACCUCUCUACCCAAUGAGGGUCAUUUUGAGGGCCAAUUCUCUUUACACUGGGAAAGGCCAUAGUGGGGUAAUGGGAUGGAGGUGGGGCAGUGGCCGUAAGGAUGUGGAUAGCAUUCUGAGAAGGAAUAGGGAAGAAAAGAAGAGGGUGCUGGAGAACUGGCAUUACCAUGGCUGUGUGGCUAGGGGCCUCUAGCCUCCAUUCUGGAUACACUCAAGACAUCAUCUGAUUCUAAUCCUCAAAUACUUCCCACUCUCAAUGGCACGGGGACAAAGCCUUUUGACCUCCACUUCUUUGAUAUGAAGGGUGCUGUCUGAGAGACUGUCUUCCCUGGGGUGGCUGUGGCCAAGAGUUUGGGCUCUCAGGACCUCACCUGGAUCUAAAUACUGUCUCUCAUAUUCGCCAGUUCUGUGACACUGGGGGCAUCGCUGACCUACCCUGAGCCUGUUCCCUCAUCUGUAAAAUGGGGAUAAUAAUAAGCCUGCCUGGUGCUGUGUGCUGUGGAUGGAGACGGAAUGGAGGGAGGUGUUGGUAGCAAAACUUUGAGUGUUGCUUGUUCCAUUAAAAAAAAAAGCCCUUUGCUAUGUUUCUCUCACUCCGGCAUGCUACUUACAUCUCUAGCAAAACCACCUCUGGGUAGUUUCCAGUGCUGUGAUUUGCCCCCAACAUGUGAAGCUUAUGGGACUUUGGGUUCUGAGCCCUUGUGGACCUAUCCCUUUCUCUCUGGUCUUCUCAUCUUGAAUCUAGGAUUAAUCGAGUCAUUAUUAAGGUCCCCGAAUCCUAGAACCUGAGACCCAGAAUGUUCUCUGAGUUAAAUUCUUGUUUGUGCCUCAGUCUGAGCUGGAGCUUGUGAUCUCCCACUAAGACCUAACACUGCUAGUCCUAGUCCAGUUUUCUACAUCCCCUUCCCCCAGAGACUCUUGGAGUCAGAUGCAGUAGAGCCCCCUCCCACCCAGGACAGUUGUGAGGCUUCGUUUAAGGUCAGUGCUGAGAAAAGCUCCUUAGGAUUGGACAGUUUGGACAAACACACUAGCACGCUCCUGGGUGGGGGAAUGGGGUAGGCUGGGGCAUUCUGGCUUUGUCUUAGGUAGAGAAGGUGUUCCAAACCAGUGAAACGAGACAGGCAGCUUUGAGGGGUUGACUGAAGACAACAGCAAGACCCAGACUUGCUGGACAGAUGGUAUGGAGUGGGGGCAAUCUAAAAAGUAGUAGGGGUAGGAUGGGCAGGAACAUAGGGACUUGGUUCUUCUGUUGGAUUGACAACUACCGAAGACUUCCAACACUUAGCAGGUGCAGUAUCCCGCACAGUCCUCAGCCCCAGGUUGCUUCUGGGAGCAUUAGCAAUUCCUUCCUUGCUUAGGGUCUGGGUCCUGAUCCACUGUUGGCAGGAAGCCCCUUACAGCUGGCAGUCUCCAGAGAUGCCAGUUGUACAGGUCCAACACGGAGCCCAGGGAGUCUUUAUCUUUCACAAACUUGCUGACUAUUCGGGCUUCCAAGAUCCUGUGACUACCUGAGAAGCCCGAUUCCGGGGACUAUAGAGUAGGAACAUACUAAUCCAGGGAGAGCAAGCAGGCAGGGCUUGGAAGGAACAGUGGGGUCUUUAUUGAACUUGGUGUUCAUGAUCCAUGUUGUACACCUACUGGGUUGCACAUCCUCAGCCACAAGGCACUAGAGGAUGCAAACUGAGACAGACCAAGACCAAAUCAUUCAGAUGGGUCUUAGAAUGGGAAAGUAUUGUAAGAAAAAGGUUGGCAGGUGACUUGAGUCUGGGAGGUCUAGGACUUGCCUAAGGUCACAUAGCUAGUUAGCUGCAAGACCACACUAGUCCCUCUCAAAUGAACCCAGUCAAAGUGUAUGAUACGAUCAGAACACUUUAGGACCUCUCUGUGUGUAAGAUGUGCCGGAUGUGAGCAGUGCUCAGAGUCAUUAUGAUGGGGGAGGAAGGUCAUUGUAAGACACUACUGUCAGUCCAUCUACUGGGAUGUACUUGGAAUGAUAUGGGGGAAAGUAAGUAGAGGACCUGAGAGGGCUUGGAGUUCCCAGAAUCCAUGUCCUGGUGCUUUUUAUAGAGUGAGCACCAGAUCUCAACUGAAUGACUUUCUUAGUAGAGUCUGGCAGAUUCUCGGGUCCUCUUAUUUACCAAUGGUAAAGAAAUAAAGUACCCUAGUACAAAUGAGGCACAGGGUUGGCAGAGAGAGUUGUUUCCAGGUCUGUCUCCCAGAAUCCCAUUCAUGCUUCUGACUUACUGAGUGAGGACUGUAGGAAACGAAUGUUUUCAAUUUCCCUUGAAAAGAAUAUCCAGCCUUAGCAGGGAGCAGGGUGGCACACAGGCAGGGAACCUAUGCAGUACACUCUCUGUGACCCCAGACGGAUGUGCUGUGUGUAGAGAGGGGGUGACAGAGACUUACUGUCAGAUCUGUCAUAUUAAGGUCCCUGAAGCAGGCACACUUCUAAGGACCACUGUGGAAACCCAGUCAGGAAGAUGGGAAGGAGCUACCUCUCCAUCUGACUCUAAUCUGAGAAAGGUCUAAGAGUCAGGAAGCCUGGGCCUGGAGAUGAUGGGUGGACUGGGACAAACCCCUUGACCUUUAGGGACUCAGGGUUUUCAACUGGAAAUACUAUUUGAACACUUUAGUAGAGUGGUAAUGAGGUGGGAGCUUAAAGACCUUUGACCACUCCGGUGAGACCGGGCUUGCACAAAAGUUUACCUGGAAAGGGCUAAGGGCUAGGACGGGUUCAGAGGCAGACUCAGCAGUCUCACUUGGUAGCUUGUAGACUUCCUUUCUGACACACUCACCUGGGUGAAAGGUUGGUGAUUAGCUUAAGCCCUACCCGUGCUGCCCCUCGCCUCUGGAUCUUCAGUGGGAGCAAGUUGAGAUUACAAUAGCACGAGGCAGGUUAGGUUGGAACGAAGAUUCAGGAGCCGGGUGCCUUGUGAGCAUAGAUGAGGAUUUUUUUUCCUAAUUUUUCCAAUUCUCUUCAACACCAUUCUAGGUGCUACUUCUAGAUUCAUCUUAAAAUACUAUCUUUUUUUAAUUACACCCCUCCCCCACCCACUUAAUCUGCCUUAUGUAGUCCCAACACUUCCAAUUCUUUGUUCAAAGCAGAACAACCUCUUUUGGUCUAUGACACAUGACCUUGGACCUCUGAAACACUAGCUGUGGGUCCCUGUAACAAAGAAAAGGUUUCUGAUCUUCCCCUGGAAGCUUGUCUUGUUCAUUGGAGUCAAGCGAGUGCCAGAAGUACUUACUUUCCUGGCCUCCAGGAGUGUGUCUUAUCCAGAGAGACGGGGACAGACAAGACACAUGGCAGACGUGGAGUGCCAGUGCCUGUUCCUACAUGGAGAUUGGAGAAUCUUACACUUGAUCUUAGCCAAAAGGCUGAGAAGCAGUGAGGUGUGUGAGUCUUAUAAGAAGGCUCCUUUUGACUUAGAGGUUGGAGAAGCAGCCAGGGGUCCUUAUUGAUUGGAAUAUUCAAAGCCUGGGGUGGAUGAGAGUGGGGAGGGUGGGGAGGAAGGGCAGGAGAGAGAAGAAAUAGAAGAGGACAGGAGGAGAUAGUAUCUGAAUUGAGUCCUUUCUAUGGGAGCCCAGAGGGGUUGGAGAGAAGCCAGGAUUUACAGGACACAUCGCCCUCUUCUGAGAAUCCAUGUUCUGAAAAGAGAGGGGCCUCCUAAGGAACUCUUCCAGGGGCCAGAUGGCGGCUCCCAUGGGUGGUGGAGGGCUUGGGGAAGAGUGGGUUGGAGUGGCUGAAAAGGGUUCACAUGGCUUAAGCGCGUGAGAAGACUCUUGCAGAAAUCUAUCCAGGACUGACGGGUGUGGAGUGAGAGAGAGCAAGGAGGAGGCAAAAGGCAAAAGGCAAAAGCAAAGUCCGUCUGAGAGGGGCUUCCAGCUGCUCAGUGCUUUUUAUCUCAGUUGUUCACGUCACAAUAGAAUAAAAUAGCAAGAGAACCAGAGGUCAUAGGGUCUAGCCCCCUUUCCACUAGACAGAUGGGAAAAGAUGGUCCCAGCAGCGGGACCAGAGGAGACAAGUCCUGCUGCAUGUGCACAGGGCCUGUGUCAGGUACAGGUGAAUCAGGCGACGUCUUGAAAAACAUGAGCAUCCCAACCUACUAGGUAGCUAAGAGUAGCAUCCAGCUCUGUAUGACAAGGACUGGCCAGUGCAGUUCAAGCUGCUUUGAAGGUACCAUGUUGGUGCCCAUCUACCAAGGAGGCCAGAAUGCAGUUUUAAAUGUGAUUUUUUGCUGGGUAAGGCCUAACAUUAGGCCUCUGGGUUCUGUAUAAUAAAAGAGCUACGGCUUUUAAAACUACCACCUAGAAAUGCAAAUUAAACUGUUGGAAACUUCCUGAAAAGUUGUCAAGGGAUUAGUGUGUGGUUCCCCAGUGACCACAAAACUAUAAGGAGAAAGAAUUUCCAGGACCUGCCCUAGCAUCUGCAUCACCUUUAGCUCUGGAGGUUUGAUUCUGCGAACUAAGUCUUGGUCAGUGACCAUAGAAAGUAUCUGAAAUAGUACUUGUUCUACAAAAGGAGAGAGAAAUCCAGGUUAGUAUGUGGCCCGAGAUGAUGAUAAAACAUGAGUGAUUCUAACUCCUAGAAUCCCCGAGAAAGGGCUCGGGGCCACCCAAUGCUUUAGUUUUCUGAUUAUUGUAAUUAUGUGUCCAUAAUACGUGUUAUAGGCAAAAAAAAAAAAAAAAAAAGAUAAGCAGGUCCUAAGCUAUAAUACCCUAGCAGCUUGUGCAGCCUCACACAUGUUGUUCUCCUUUUUAAAAAAAAAAUAACAAAGGGCUUGGAUGUGCUGCAGUCUACUUACUUUGGUUUUCAUUACUUGGGUGUUUCUGCAAGGCUAUGUCAAUGAGAAAAGGAAAUUUUUCCUGUGCAGGAUAAUGCAGAUUUUAGUUGUGAACUCUGGUCAAGUUGUUGUUGUAUAAACAAAACUCAGGUAGAACAUUUCCAGGCAUCAGAGGGCCAUAUCGCUAGGCCUCAGUUUCCUCAUUUGUAAAAUAAGACAUUUGUAGCCUGGUGUGGCAGCACACACGUGUAAUCCCCCACUCCCACACACUUGAGAGGCUAAAGCAGGAGGAUUGGGAGUUUGAGGCCAGCCUGGGCUACAUAGUGAGCUACAUAGAGGCUCUUGUUUCAAUUAAAAAAAAAAGAUAAUUUACAAAUGUCCAAGCCAAUUGCUUCUUCUGCAAGAACUCUUCUUGGCUAUGGCAUUUUUAGUGGGUGUGAGAAGACUCAGAAGAAACACUGGAUGAGGGGAUGUGAGAAAAUGAGCUCAGUUGGCUGAAGUCCCUUGGAGCAUCACACGUUUGUUGAGCUGUGCUUUUGGUCUGAUUUUGACUUGCACUCUAGAUUCUGUGAGAGGCAUCAUGCCCCAAACAUUGGUUUGCUCUCAUGAGACCAGUGUUGCCCUGCUCCGUGAGCCUCUGCUCUCUUAACAGUACCUUGUUACUGCCUCAUAGCCUGUCAUGCUGCUGAUGCAAGACAUGUCACCUGAUGGGUGUUAUUGAGAGAAGAAACCUCCAGGGGGCAACAGGCACCAUCCCCUGACUCCCAGACUUCUGGUUUCCUGCAUUUGUUUCAAACUUUGCCUUGCCGGAUCCCAGUCACUGCUCUGUGCACAAAUCCUUCACAGCCCUGAGGCCAACUCUGAUUUCUUUCAUUGUAGGUCUCUGACUGUCAAUACUGACAACGUCUCCCUCUUCUUCAUUUCUAGAUCCCUGGUUACCUUAUUGAUGAAGACAGAUAUUCCUGGCUUAGUACGGCCUAGUGUCUCCUAGUUCUAAAAAUGCAAAGGAAGGAAAAAAAGGGUGUUGGGAGUGGGGGUAAACACUGUCCUACCUUAAAUCAUGAUUGGUUAUUUCCAGAAAUGCUCACAACAUAACUUUUUGUUGUUCAGUAACUAGCCAGCAAUUUUGUAAGGCAGCCAUAUAAUUUCCCCCUUGACUGAAGCUGUGUCCCAGUUCUCACCAACUGCAUCUCGUUGAGUUGUGUCUUAUGUGUCCAUGCCCCUUAGUUAAAGGCCACCAGAAACAUACCUUUGGACAGAGAUUUUUGUUGGCUCAUUGCAAUCAAAGAGAUACACACAUACACUACUCAUGGGAUCUCGGGGAAUUUGGGUAAGAUGUUAGAAAAGACUCAAGGAUUUGAGCUUGUUUUAGGUGAUCUGGAGACUCAAGGACUUGGACUUCUUUGGACUGGAUGCUGACAGGUGAAGGCAUUCACCCUAAACACUCAUCCUAAUACAUUUUUGUUGUGUGGUAACGGUGUGCAUGACACAUGCCUAUGCGUACAUGAGUAGGUGCAGAUUCGUGUGUGCACACAGGAGUGCAUGGAGGCCAGAGGUCUGCAAGGCAGGUGUCUUCCUCUACUGCUCUCUGCCUGGUUUUUUGAGACAGAGUCUCUCACUGAACCUAGAGCUCAUCGACUGGCUAGACUGGCCAAUGAGCUCCAGGCGUUCUCCUGUCUCCACUCCUCCCCCAGCGCCAGUAAUACAGUUGUGUAUUAUCACACCCAAGGUUUGUUUCUCAUUGUAAUGUGGGUGCCAGGGACCCAGAUUCAGGUCCUUUUGAUUGUACAGCACCAAGCACUAAAAUUGCUGAACUGUCUCCCCAGCUCCUCGCAGUCCACCAAUCCAAAGGAAAUCUUACGGGGUGAAUGAGCCUUCUACCAUGAUUGGUAAAAAGCAACCCUCUCUGCUCUUAGCUAGACCUGAUAGAUGGCUGCUCAUUUUUCUGUGACUUGGAGGACACCCAGAUAUAGUCACUAUGUUUUGGGGGAGUUGACUGGAUUCUUCUUGGGUUAGGUUGCUUCUUCCCUGCCCCACUACUCAGAAGGGGAAGGAUGAAGCCAGCUCCAGGAAAUGGAAGACAGCACCUGCCCAGGGGCAGACUGUGGCACAGUGUGGGUCUUUUCUGUUGUCAACAUUUUCACAGUUAGAGGUUGGUCAGGGAAUGGCACCUGUACUUGGAUAAGAGUUCAUUUUAUGCCCUUUGGGAAGAGUUGGUCUUUCAACCUGAUGAGACAAGGGUUGCACAGAGUGCAGGAAGACUCUGAAGAGAAGGCGCCAGCAGAAACACAACAUAGUCCUAAGAACAGACCCGUUAAGACCAGGCUUGGAUGUCCAACUCCAGGCAAGGCCACCAUGUCUCUAAUCCAAGUGACAUCUUUCUAGACAUUCAGCUGGCUUUUCUUUACUUUAGAACAUGGGCCGUUCUAUGUGAAUCUGAGGCACACCUUGCCCUACUAGACUAAGUAGGAGGGCAUCAAGUGCCACAAUAUCUUAGAAUAAAGAACAGCACCUUCUGGCCUGCACAUUCACAUGUAAACUGGCUGGUUGGGUUUCCAGAGUCAGGAGCUUGUGUGAGUUAAAGGAGCCCAAUAAAGUCAGGGAGGGUUUGGAACCUUUUUGGGAUGGUCUUGAUUACUGCAGUGUGCACAGGAUGCAUACAGAGAGUGGUUGCCUGGGAGGGUGUUCAGUUAUCCCAUGUUUGUCUUGUUUUGGAACUUUCUGGGCAUUCCUUUCAGGGGAAUCUCAUUCUCUAAAUGUUUGUAAUUUUUAAAUAUCUCAAAGUCUCUAAAAACUCUAAAGAGAGAGGACAAAGUAAUGUGUAUGCACGAGACUGGUGCCUACAAGGGAAGCAGAAUGGCCAGCCAGCCCAGUGUCCCUGACAUCCAUCGUCCACACCCUUUGAUCUCUGAUGUCACUUAUUCCAACAAGGGGGAGCUAGGCUUUUACAUUUUUAAAGUUUUCCCUCAUCAAGUGGGAUGCUUCCUUUGAAUAGGAGAAAAGUAUGGUGGAGAAUCUCUGAAAGGAGCCCACUAUUACAACAAGAACCAUCUCAAGACCAGUUUCCACUUGUAAUAGGCCAUAAUUUGCUAGUGAGGUUACAAUGACAUAAACAGAAACAUCUUUCUGAAAUGGGGUUGAAAUAGAGAUUUCUUGUUUUGUUUUGUUUUUCGAGACAGAGUUUUUUCUGUGUAGCCUUGGCUGUCCUGGAACUUACUCUGUAGACCAGGCUGGCCUUGAACUCAUCGAGACAGAGAUUCACUGCCUCUGCUUCCCAAGAGCUGGGACUAAAGAUGUGUGUACCACCACCUGGCCAAAAAGUCUAAAUUUAAAAAAAAAUGUUUGGAAUUAAUCAGAGCUGAUAAAUUUAUGCAUCCAAACACUUAGACAGAAAGCUAGCUUCUGAUUGAUUUAAAGGAACUUAAACAUUUGUCACCAUUCAAAUUCCUUCCGAUUUAACCGUGAGCUGACACAACACAGGGUGUUUAUUUUAUUCUUUAGGGAUAGAAGGCCUUGGUGGGUGUGUUAGACAGAUAAAAAUCCACUGGAUUAAGAUUAGGGAAGGUUAUGUUGAGAAGUCUUUGAAUUGUAUUUAAUUACAAUAAGACAGACAGUAAUGUGUAGCAGAAGUGUCAUAGGCAGAUAAAAAUCCACAGGAUUAAGAUUAGGGAAGGUUAUGUUAAAAGUCUUUGGAUUGCAUUUAAUUACAAUAAGACAGUAAUGUGUAGCAAAAGUGUCAUGGGCCUUGGCAGGAGCCCCCACUUCUGAAGUCAGUGCUGGCUUCUUUGUGGUUAUCUAUUCUUUAAGAACAUUUCAAACCCCUCAGUUUGAGUUGCCCGAGGAUGGAUGGCCUGCCAUUGUGCGCUCUCUCUGCUUCAGGAAGGCACCACCAUGAGGGUCAGCUCUAUGGUCUUCUCCAGUGGGUUAGUUGUCAGCAGUCUUUGUUAAUGGCUUUCAAGACAACAGGGAGUCCAUGUUCAUCUACACAGCUUGAGAAUGCUAAGCUAACAGACUUCUGGGGGCUGUACAGAGGCUUGUGUGGAGCCUGGCCAAGACUGAGGCCCAGGUUCCUUAGCUGCGUGCACACGCCCUUACUCCAGUCCUGAGGCCUGAAGUGUGCAGAACCCAUUUUUCCCAUACACCAGAGGCAAACACAGUUGGAUUUAUGGAGCCAGCACUUCAUAACAGGACCAACAUGGCCAGGGACUGGGUCAGGGGCUUUUUAAACCCUUAAAUCUCUUCCUUGGCAAGAGGGGACAGGGCUCAGUGAUGCCUUGUGGCAGGCUUCAUGGCUCCUGGCCAAGAACAAAGGAGUCAGCAGGUGCCCUUUAAACUAUUAGCUGUGAGUUCUGCAGGAACUCAACCACUCAAAGGGAGGUUGCCAUGUUCAGAAGGAUCAUCGGCUAGGCUUGCCUUUGUCUAGAGGUAGAGAACCAGGGAAGGAGAGCGGGGAUUGAGACUCCUCUGAGAGCACAGGGAAUCCAGACCCCUACGACUGAGAGAUUGCUACCACUCCCCUUGGCCCUGAACUGGGACCAUGGGCCUAUAGAGGGUUCACAAAGGUGAAGAGAAAGCCGGAAGAAGGAAGUGGGCCCCAAGAGCGGCUGGGCAUGGUAUGCUCUCCUGUUCUGAGGAGGGCCUCUAAAGUGCUCUCUCUGCAUUGUUUUUCUUCUUCACUCUGCCCUGAAGGGGAAGGAUGGCCGUGGGGCCAGGGAGGGACAGGGCUGAGUGCUGGCUCAGAAUCAGCUCUAGGACAUAGCAAAUGGAGCAUGGAGAGGGACAGACCUGGUGGCUGGUGUGAAAGGAGAGGGUCAUGGCUGAAUCCAAGCAGGACCCCAGAGGCUGGCCCAAGUCCCCUCUGCCUCCUUUGAACUGAAGAGCCCAGUCCCCUGGACUGAGUUAACCUCAUCCCUCCCCAAGCUCUGUAGACAGGUCUGCUUGAGGGCCCCAUCCUUUCCCACGAAGGGUCUCUCUCCAACGUCUCUCAUUCCAAAUCCAUCUUCAUUAGUAACUAUAAACGUCAGAAUCUGAGCCUUAGAAGGCUGUUCCCAGAUAAGUAAGGCCUUUCAUAUUUAAUUUAUGAGUGCCCUCUUUAGGGUGUGGUGGGUUAAUUAAGAGCUGAAUUAGAUGGAACUGCAUGUCCCCAAGGACACUCGAUUAAGCUCUUUGUGGCAAAAAAGAGGGGGGGGGGAGGGAGAGAGAGAGAGAGAGAGAGAGAGAGAGAGAGAGAGAGAGAGAGAACUGACAGUAGCUUUAAGAGAAAAGGCCCUGUGGGAGUGACAUCUCACCACAGCCUUGACCUUGGGUCUGAAGACCCCUCAGUUUCACCCUUCUCUUAUUUUCAGUUUGAAGACUCCUGAGGCCCUCUGACCUGCUGUCCAGGGACUCUGCAGGACCUUGAGGCUAGGCUGGCUUUCCUGGAUGGCUUCAGGUUAAUACUUUGCAGCUGGGCAGCUUCCUAUACAGGACAGGGCACUGCUAGGGUUUACUGACUUGAGAGUCAGCAUUGUCAGCCCAGGAUUGCUCUCUGACAUUCCAAUCCCAUUCCUAGGGCAUAUAGUCCCAGACCUAAACCCUUCACAUAGGCUGAGUAGAUGAGGUUUUUCGACUUGGAGUUUCAUAGCCCAACAGGCAGUGACUGAGAGCCAUCUUCUGACAGAACAUCUCCCCUGCCCUCUACCUGACCUCACCGCUGAAGACCAGGGUCUGACUGGGAAGGAGGCUAUGCCCGGCUCAGGAAGGGGCUGAGGAGAAAGGUCCUUGCCUGUGGCUGCUGACAAUCCACCUGUCCCAUACUGCUACCGACCACCAGACUGCAGGACUCCAGCAGUUUGAUUUAACUGAGGAGGCUGAGAUCCUUAGGAGGGAAGCAAUAUGGCUGCUCUUGAGUGAGUUAGUCUAGAGAUGGGGGAAGGAUCACAAACUACUGACACCAGCACCUGUGACCGUGUGUCGCACACGUGCACCUGGCUCUUUAGAAACCCUGCUGAUGUGGGCUUACUCUUGUCCAACACCCCUGAUGUCUCCAGAGGCUGGUGGGGACAGAUGUGCCCCCUGGAUCUCACCCUGAUUCUUUGGUCUCUUGUUCAUACUUACACUGCAGACAAGCGCGCCUCCCUUCAUGCCUGAAGAGACUGUGACACACUUGGUUGUCCAUGGUCUGCACACUUUUAGAGUAAUAAAUGCUGUCGGCACCCAGUGUUCACAUACAGCCCCUAAAUGCCAGACACUCACCUUGUCUCUUGACCUCGCCUAAGUUUUUGGCUAGGGAGAGAGAGUCCAGGGCUCAAGUGCAGACUGCCCUGUUGUUGUACUAAGUACAGACAUCUCCGUGGCUGCUGCUAGAUCUCCUGAGAGGUUAGCUGCAGACUCUGCAGGAAGUGGAUGACAAAUGUUCUUGGGAAAAGUAGGAAAAAGAGAGCCAGAAAGAGCAGCCCUUGGUGUAAGUGGGCCGGCGAUGCCCCCCAGAGCCCAAAAGGUUCUGAAGAGACAAAGACCUCUGUUUGUUCCCUCAUCCAUCACUGAGGACUUUGUGACAUCUUGCAUGCUGAGGGCCCAUUUCGUUCUCAGGGUUCCCCCUCACUCAGCAAGUCAUGUGAUCUCCUAGUCUUCUGCAACUUACAAGAUCUAUAGCUUGACUCUCCAUGGGGGAGCUUUCUUGACUUUCUACACUCAGCUGGGUUCUGAUUUGGGGCUCACCUCCAGUUUCAAAACUAAAGUCUAUUUAUACUUGGGGAUGGAUGAUGUGGUUUCUUGGUAAGCCCUUGUGAGCUUCCCAUCUUUGACAACGCCGCUCAAGAUAGCCAUUCACCUUGGAAGCUAUCCAAGGUUGGGUCCUCAUUCUUACUUCAGGAAGCACCUCAGAGAUCACCCCAAGUCCCCAAUGCACAGGAAAAGGAGGGAUGUGACCAGGACCUGUUGUAGCAGGACAGGGGCAUGUGGCAGUCAGGUCUAGGCUUCCUGGCUGCUGUUGGAUUUCUCUUUCCUGCCACCAUCUCUUUCCCUCUUUGCUUGUGCCUCAGUGUCAU